rnacentral:rRNA from 1 species
AGUGAACGCUGGCGGUAGGCCUAACACAUGCAAGUCGAACGGCAGCACAGUAAGAGCUUGCUCUUACGGGUGGCGAGUGGCGGACAGGUGAGGAAUACAUCGGAAUCUACUUUUUCGUGGGGGAUAACGUAGGGAAACUUACGCUAAUACCGCAUACGACCUACGGGUGAAAGCAGGGGAUCUUCGGACCUUGCGCGAUUGAAUGAGCCGAUGUCGGAUUAGCUAGUUGGCGGGGUAAAGGCCCACCAAGGCGACGAUCCGUAGCUGGUCUGAGUGGAUGAUCAGCCACACUGGAACUGAGACACGGUCCAGACUCCUACGGGAGGCAGCAGUGGGGAAUAUUGGACAAUGGGCGCAAGCCUGAUCCAGCCAUACCGCGUGGGUGAAGAAGGCCUUCGGGUUGUAAAGCCCUUUUGUUGGGAAAGAAAAGCAGCAGGUUAAUACCCCGCUGUUCUGACGGUACCCAAAGAAUAAGCACCGGCUAACUUCGUG